AGCCCAUAUCCUUUAAUUGCCCAUCCAUAUCCUUUAAUUUUGGGGUUUCUCUAUGAGAAUUAUCUGCCUGUGCUGGAUAAACAAUUCCAAAGAGAUUCCUCCGGCGCUGCGGGGACCGGCGGGGUUUGGAGGGUUCCGGGGCCGUGGCGGGGCCGCGCUCGGAGCAGCAGCGGCAGCACCGGGCUCGGCCCCAGCGCCCGUCCCGGAGCGGCUCCUCCCGCCCGCAGUGAUCCCGGUACCGAUCCCUGCCCUAAUCCCGCAGCCCGCUCGGCCCAGGACCCACAGCAGGACCCAGACCCGAAUCCCCGGCCCCAGGUCCGAGUCCCGGACCCGUGUCAGCGCCUCGAGCUCCGCGCAGCGCCGGGAGCAGCCCCCGGUCCGGGGCUCCGCACCGCGCUCCGAGCGAUGGUCCCGCCGCAUCCCGGGAUGAGCAUCCACAGCACAAAGUGGAGCGGGAAUUUUGAGGCCCAGGGAGCGCCCAGGAGAUUUGCCAAAAUCCGCUAUGAUUUCACCGCGCGAAACACCAACGAGCUCUCGGUGCUCAAGGACGAAAUCCUGGAGGUAGGUGACCAUUCCUGGGAAAGGUGUGUCCCUUCCCCUUCCCAGGGGCAGGAGAGAGCUCAGGAUACCAGCAAGCACCAACUGCAGGUGGUGUCUGAGCUCUACUCAGAUCCAAAGCUGGAACUGUGCUGUGCUGUGUCACUUCCUCAGCUCAAACACGUCAGUCCCACCGUAACCACAGUGAGGAGGGGGGACAACAACUCCCUGUCCUGCCCUGCUCAUCCCCUGCUGGACAUGAAUCUGUUCAUAACACUGAGUUAUCCUCCACAGUCCUCAGGAGUUUCAUGGGGAAAGUGACACUGGAUGAAGUGUCACUGCAGUUUUCAUGGAAUCACAGGAUGGCCU
rnacentral:lncRNA from 12 species